rnacentral:rRNA from 1 species
UGCAGUCGAGGGAGAACCAUUCGAUCCGUAAGGACCGGAUGGGGAAACCGGCGAACGGGUGCGUAACACGUGAGGAACCUGCCCCGAAGACCGGGAUAGCCCGAGGAAACUCGGAUUAAUACCGGAUACCCUCUUUGGACCACAUGGUCUGCUGAGGAAAUGGUCCGCCGCUUCGGGAUGGCCUCGCGGCCUAUCAGCUUGUUGGUGAGGUAACGGCUCACCAAGGCAAAGACGGGUAGCUGGUCUGAGAGGACGAUCAGCCACACUGGGACUGAGACACGGCCCAGACUCCUACGGGAGGCAGCAGCAGGGAAUAUUGCACAAUGGGCGAAAGCCUGAUGCAGCGACACCGCGUGCGGGAUGAAGGCCCUCGGGUUGUAAACCGCUUUCAGGAGGGACGAAAAUGACGGUACCUCCAGAAGAAGGCCCGGCCAACUACGUGCCAGCAGCCGCGGUAAUACGUAGGGGCCAAACGUUGUCCGGAUUUAUUGGGCGUAAAGGGCUCGUAGGCGGUUCAACAAGUCGAUCGUGAAAGCCCGGGGCUCAACCCCGGGACGCCGGUCGAAACUGUUGUGACUAGGGUCCGGUAGAGGUGAGUGGAAUUCUCGGUGUAGCGGU